rnacentral:misc_RNA from 1 species
GAUGAAGAACGCAGCGAAAUGCGAUACUUGGUGUGAAUUGCAGAAUCCCGUGAACCAUCGAGUCUUUGAACGCAAGUUGUGCCCGAAGCCACUAGGCCGAGGGCACGCCUGCCUGGGUGUCACACGUCGUUGCCCCCCCCCCAUCUACUCCUUCGGGAUUGCGGGGGGCGGAUGAUGGCCUCCCGUGCGCCUAGCCGCGCGGUUGGCAUAAAUACCAAGUCCUCGGCGACGCCCGCCACGACAAUCGGUGGUUGCGAAACCUCGGUUGCCCGUCGUGUGCGUUCGUCGCGCAUCGAGGGCUCGAAAAAAUGCUCGGCUCCGGCUCGGCUUUCAACGCGACCCCAGGUCAGGCGGGGUUACCCGCUGAAUUUAAGCAUAUCAAUAAGCGGAGGA